rnacentral:rRNA from 1 species
AGUGAACGCCGGCGGUAGGCCUAACACAUGCAAGUCGAACGGCAGCACAGUAAGAGCUUGCUCUUACGGGUGGCGAGUGGCGGACGGGUGAGGAAUACAUCGGAAUCUACUUUUUCGUGGGGGAUAACGUAGGUAAACUUACGCUAAUACCGCAUACGACCUACGGGUGAAAGCAGUGGAUCUUCUGACCUUGCGCGAUUGAAUGAGCCGAUGUCGGAUUAGCUAGUUGGCGGGGUAAAGGCCCACCAAGGCGACGAUCCGUAGCUGGUCUGAGAGGAUGAUAAGCCACACUGGAACUGAGACACGGUCCAGACUCCUAAGGGAGGCAGCAGUGGGGAAUAUUGGACAAUGGGCGCAAGCCUGAUCCAGCCAUACCGCGUGGGUGAAGAAGGCCUUCGGGUUGUAAAGCCCUUUUGUUGGGAAAGAAAAGCAGCAGGUUAAUACCCCGCUGUUCUGACGGUACCCAAAGAAUAAGCACCGGCUAACUUCGUG